UUUUUUUUUUAAUGUAUCUUAAAGGACAAAAAAUAAAAACUUAAAUAUUGUAAUAUGACAGAUAACCUAAUAAUUGUAUCUACAUUAAAAUGACAAACAUGAUGUUGCUGCUUGUCAAAUAAAAAAAAAAAAAAAUAAGCAUAAUGCCUUUUUCUAUGAUGACGGAAUAUCAGGUUGGACAGAAAAUGAGACAUCUGUAAAUGCCUAUGAGUCACCCAAGCAGCAAACAGCAUUUCGUCAUUUCAUCAUUUCGUCAUGGUGAUGAAUUUACUUGGGCUCCCAUCUAAAGUUCAAUUAAAAGUGCCAGGGUUCUGUCUUUGAAUACAUAAGAUUGUGAAUUUGAGCUAAUGGCAUAAGCAGUUUUUGCAUUUUGAGUAGGAUGUAAUUCUAUCUGGUUUUGGUGAUGAGCUGUACCACAGAAACGGAAUACUAUGCAGUGACUUCUAGGCUGGCAGAAAAGAACUGCUCACUCUUGACCCAUUCUUCAUGAUACAUCUAUGCUAACAUAAUGGCUGUGGCUCAUCUCCCAGAGUUUAGGAGACUAUGAGUACAGUGAAUUCCUUCCAGCUCCCCCUGCUCAUCGCUGGCACCCUUCCACAGUGCAGAUGACUCCCCCAUCACAAGUUGAUAGCAGGGCCCCUCAAUGCUAAGGAGUUCCACCAGGCAUCUUGUAUAGGGACAUGAGAUUUCAUGAGUUUGUUUCUAGUAGAUAACAGGGGCAUUCAGAUACUCUGGUUACUAUAUUCUCCAUCUGCCAUCUCUAGAUCACAUUGCUGUUUUAAACCAGAGUAUUUAUAUCUAACAGAUAAGGCCUUAAAUCCACAAUAAUAUUCUGAACAAAUAAAUAGAACUUAAUUUGCAUUCUCAUGUGGUUCAUAUUAAAUUUAAUGAUUGGUUAUUUGAUUGCACCUUUUGUAUCUUAAGCUUUCAAAAAUCUGCUGGACUUCUAAUGACUUCUACUGUCUUUAUUAUUUUGCCUUCCUACCUCGUGUAGAUAAUGGCAAAGCAUAUACUAUUGUACAUUCAUGGUCAAAGAACAAGCCCCUUGUUUUGAUAACUUGUUACAAGUUUUCCAAAUUUAUAAAUAUUAAAUUAAGUCAUAACCUGAUACCAAUUGUCAAGAAAUGUUAUAUUGAAAAGUAGAAAAAAUAUUUGUGACAAAUUCAAGUUUUCUUAACAUUUCCUUCUUAUUUAUUGAUGAGCAGAAAGAAGAAGGGAGUUCAGGUAAGUCUAGGCUCUACUGAGAAAGUGAAAAUGUAUUCAUUGAAUUCUGUCCCGCCCACUUCCUCCCCUGAGGAGCCCCUGACAAGAGCUCCAGCUUGGCUUUACUGGCUGCCAUAGUGAGUGCUUAUGGGCAGAGUGGGUCAACUACAGGAAGGUAGGAGAGGUAGGAAGGUAGGAGAGGGAAGGGACUUUUUUAUACCUUAUUGC
rnacentral:lncRNA from 1 species